rnacentral:rRNA from 1 species
AGUGAACGCUGGCGGUAGGCCUAACACAUGCAAGUCGAACGGCAGCACAGUAAGAGCUUGCUCUUACGGGUGGCGAGUGGCGGACGGGUGAGGAAUACAUCGGAAUCUACUUUUUCGUGGGGGAUAACGUAGGGAAACUUACGCUAAUACCGCAUACGACCUACGGGUGAAAGCAGGGGAUCUUCGGACCUUGCGCGAUUGAAUGAGCCGAUGUCGGAUUAGCUAGUUGGCGGGGUAAAGGCCCACCAAGGCGACGAUCCGUAGCUGGUCUGAGAGGAUGAUCAGCCACCCUGGAACUGAGACACGGUCCAGACUCCUACGGGAGGCAGCAGUGGGGAAUAUUGGACAAUGAGCGCAAGCCUGAUCCAGCCAUACCGCGUGGGUGAAGAAGGCCUUCGGGUUGUAAAGCCCUUUUGUUGGGAAAGAAAAGCAGCAGGUUAAUACCCCGCUGUUCUGACGGUACCCAAUGAAUAAGCACCGGCUAACUUCGUG